rnacentral:rRNA from 1 species
GAUGACGCUGGCGGCGUGCCUAAUACAUGCAAGUCGAGCGAGCGGCGGACGGGUGAGUAACACGUGAUAACCUCCCUAUACGACUGGGAUAACUACUGGAAACGGUAGCUAAUACCGCAUACCAUCAGAUGUGCCCAGAUGGGAUUAGCUAGGAGGUGGGGUAAUGGCUCCCCUAGGCGACGAUCCCUAGCUGGUCUGAGAGGAUGACCAGCCACACUGGAACUGAGACACGGUCCAGACUCCUACGGUAGGCAGCAGUGGGGAAUAUUGCACAAUGGGCGCAAGCCUGAUGCAGCCAUGCCGCGUGUGUGAAGAAGGCCUUCGGGUUGUAAAGCACUUUCAGCGAGGAGGCGUUACUCGCAGAAGAAGCACCGGCUAACUCCGUGUCAGCCGCCGCGGUAAUAC